rnacentral:rRNA from 1 species
GGAUAACCUGCCCUUGGGUCCGGCAUAACCCCGGGAAACUGGGGAUAAUUCCGGAUAACGCAUAUAUGCUGGAAUGCUUUCUGCGUAAAAUGGAUUCGUCUGCCCAAGGAUGGGUCUGCGGCCUAUCAGGUAGUAGUGGGCGUAAUGUACCUACUAGCCGACGACGGGUACGGGUUGUGAGAGCAAGAGCCCGGAGAUGGAUUCUGAGACAUGAAUCCAGGCCCUACGGGGCGCAGCAGGCGCGAAAACUUUACAAUGCGGGAAACCGUGAUAAGGGGACACCGAGUGCCAGCAUCAUAUGCUGGCUGUCCGGGUGUGUAAAAUACACCCGUUAGCAAGGGCCGGGCAAGACCGGUGCCAGCCGCCGCGGUAACACCGGCGGCCCGAGUGGUGAUCGUGAUUAUUGGGUCUAAAGGGUCCGUAGCCGGUUUGGUCAGUCCUCCGGGAAAUCUGAUAGCUCAACUAUUAGGCUUUCGGGGGAUACUGCCAGGCUCGGAACCGGGAGAGGUAAGAGGUACUACAGGGGUAGGAGUGAAAUCUUGUAAUCCCUGUGGGACCACCUGUGGCGAAGGCGUCUUACCAGAACGGGUUCGACGGUGAGGGACGAAAGCUGGGGGCACGAACCGGAUUAGAUACCCGGGUAGUCCCAGCCGUAAACGAUGCUCGCUAGGUGUCAGGCAUGGCGCGACCGUGUCUGGUGCCGCAGGGAAGCCGUGAAGCGAGCCACCUGGGAAGUACGGCCGCAAGGCUGAAACUUAA